GAUGAACGCUGGCGGCGUGCCUAAUACAUGCAAGUCGAGCGAACGGACGAGAAGCUUGCUUUUCUGAUGUUAGCGGCGGACGGGUGAGUAACACGUGGAUAACCUACCUAUAAGACUGGGAUAACUUCGGGAAACCGGAGCUAAUACCGGAUAAUAUUUUGAGCCGCAUGGUUCAAAAGUGAAAGACGGUCUUGCUGACACUUAUAGAUGGAUCCGCGCUGCAUUAGCUAGUUGGUAAGGUAACGGCUUACCAAGGCAACGAUGCAUAGCCGACCUGAGAGGGUGAUCGGCCACACUGGAACUGAGACACGGUCCAGACUCCUACGGGAGGCAGCAGUAGGGAAUCUUCCGCAAUGGGCGAAAGCCUGACGGAGCAACGCCGCGUGAGUGAUGAAGGUCUUCGGAUCGUAAAACUCUGUUAUUAGGGAAGAACAUAUGUGUAAGUAACUGUGCACAUCUUGACGGUACCUAAUCAGAAAGCCACGGCUAACUACGUG
rnacentral:rRNA from 1 species